CAUUGUCUGGUUGAGGGUACUUGCAUAAGAAGCGCCGGCUAACUACGUGCCAGCAGCCGCGGUAAUACGUAGGGCGCAAGCGUUAUCCGGAAUUAUUGGGCGUAAAGAGCUCGUAGGCGGUUUGUCGCGUCUGCCGUGAAAGUCCGGGGCUCAACCCCGGAUCUGCGGUGGGUACGGGCAGACUAGAGUGAUGUAGGGGAGACUGGAAUUCCUGGUGUAGCGGUGAAAUGCGCAGAUAUCAGGAGGAACACCGAUGGCGAAGGCACGUCUCUGGGCAUUAACUGACGCUGAAGAGCGAAAGCAUGGGGAGCGAACAGGAUUAUAUACCCUGGUAGAGGAGCC
rnacentral:rRNA from 1 species